ensembl:lncRNA
AAACUGUUUUCAGGUAUUUUGCCAGCAGGAUUUCAGCCCCUAAAUAGGGUAUUUCAUGGAACCUUAUGAAAAGGCUGCUUUACUACCAUAUUGUGAAGCUGUGGGUUUAUAGCACUCCUAAAUAUUUAGAUAGACCAUGAAAAUGUAGUCAAUUAAGAAAAGUGUGAUGUGUUUUAAUGACCAGGUGUAUUCAAUUAUUCAGCUUCAAUUUCCUUUCUCUAGGAUGUAAGUAGGUUUUAAAAAUUUUAACUUGGUAAAUUAACUCCUUAAUUUUAAGGACCUGGUCCUCUGAAGACAGUGUCUGCAGUGAAGCUGAGUCCUCUCUGUCCCAGGCCCUAGUGUCUACCUCUAAUUUAUUCCUGAUGAAUGACAGCGAGUUCACAGUCUCAGCCUGGUCUGCUUUCCCGAGAUCAUAAAACCCAACAAAUGAUCAUCUUACAGUCUCAAGUAUAUGAAAUUGUUUUUUUAAUACUAGAACAUCCAUAAUGAAUUUUUGGAAUGAUGUUUUCUGUGUCAAAUAAACAAAAGAUGAUGUUUUCACAUCACAAAACCACAACGGUUUGCCAUUUUUUUUUUUCAUUAAACUUCUAUGUAAACACAUAGAUGUCUCAAAUAAUUUCUGAUGUCACGAAGAAUUUCUCAGGGAUUUCUGAUGUCUUGAAGAAUUACAUCCCCAGCACUGAGGAUCCAGGCCAUUGAACUAAAGAUGGAUAGUGUUUCUCAGGAGAUUAGAGAUAAAGUUCAGAUAAAGUUUGCAUCGUCUUGAAGGAAUUAUCCCUAUUUUAUAAAAAACCAUAUUAUCACACUACAGAAAAUGUAAAAUGAGUUGUACCCACGAAACAUUGCCAUGAGCUAAGAAAGAAACUGUGGGACAGUGCAACAUAAGACUCUGCAAUACAAAAAAUAAAAUAUCACAAGCUGUAGAAAACUUUCACCAAAAAGAAAAAUAUCUAUUUAUUAAACUGUUUACAAGAGUACUGUGCAAAAUGGAAUAUAUAAUUGCAAUUUAGUUUGAAAGAUUUCUUGAGUCUUUAAAAAAGUUCUGAUUCUACUUUUCUAUCUGGAAAUGAAUGCAUUGCCAACGAAACACUCACAUGAAGCAUUAGUGGCAGGAGAUACUAUCACCCAUGGUGUCAUGUUGGACCUCUGUCGAUUUUGAUCAAUUUUAAGUGUAAAUGAUUGAAUAGCUUAAAAAUGAGUAGCUUUUAGUAAACUCUUAUAGGUGAGUAGAAUUGCACUUAAAAGAUUGCAAGAUGGGGGCAGGUUAAUGUGUCCGGCAAUCUAAUUGUUAUUGGAAAAAAUAAUCUCUUUGAGCUGAACAGCCAUGGAGAAUUAGACAGCAGGACUUUGACAGAUAGGCAUCAAGACCCUGUUUGAACUCAACCACUAAGUGUUUUGCUUUUAUCUCUCUGUCUAUUCACGAUAACUUCUGAGGAAGCUAAAGGACUUUGAGUUUGGUAGAAGAUUCAAGAUGUACCUUAAUUUCAAAUAAUGGGUCAGUCUGCCACCUUGAUUUUAUAAAAGGUGGGAUCUUUUUGGGCUAUUGUAAUAUUAUUUUUCAUAUCUUUUGUGUCAAAGAAAAUAGCUAGGUUCUUUAAUACUCUGUUCCUUGAUACAAAUAUUGAUUUAUAGUGAUUCUGGUUUAAUUUCCAUAGAGGCAAUGUUUCAGAUACUUAUCUUCAACAUAUCUUGUUAUAUAAUGUUUAACAAAUAAAAAUGGUGGAAU